ensembl:lncRNA
AUUAGAAUGCUUAUUUUAAUAAAGGCGUAAAUGUUGGAUUUGGGAUACAGAUAUGAAGAAACUGUAAUAACCAGCAUGUGUAUAAUGGGAGAUACUGGAAAUCUGAUUUUAAGAUGAAUAAAGGAGGACCUGAAUAAUCCAAUAGCUGUAUAACGUUUAUGGUUGUCAUAGAAUGUAAAGGAAUCGAUGUUAUUCUAAGGGAACCUGUUUGCACAACAUUUUUAAUAACAUUUUGUAUGUGUCACAAAGUCUAUAUUUGACAGAAGACGCUGAGAAAAAGUGAACGCGUGGAUGUGAAGUCCAUGUAAAGGUCAUCUGCUCGUACUUCAGUAUCUCUGUUUAUUUGAUCUCCGGCCACUCGGUCAAAAUUUAGCUUCCCUCGCUGGAGGCUGCUGGGAAAAGCUCCUCUCGCGUCAUGUGACCGAGGUACUAGAAUUCCUUCGGACCAGACCAGCUCCUCCGGACCGACCCCGUGAGGACGAGCCACUGAACUGCGUAGCAAGACGAGAGAAGUGAGCCAUGUCAGAGUUUGUUUACCCACAAUCCCCUUCUCCUCCUACUCUGAAUAUCACACAACAAACCGCGUAGCUCCCUAUCCAUGCAUUAUAACUAUGUCGACAUGCGUGACGUUUUCCUGCGAGUUUUUAAACGUGACCAUAACGUCCUGCUCUGUCCCCAUGUGUUUAGACUGGGUUCCUUAGCCACUGUAGCCGAAUGGACCUCGAUGGUGACGGUUUGUGGUUUAAGGUCGUGUUUGCUCCAGCACCCCCCUCACCUCUUCCUUACCUCCAUCCUGGACCCUUCAUUUUUCCCGCCAGUCCAGCUCACGUCACCUCCCAUCCUUCUUCAGCUUCAUGCCGAACUCGUCCGUCUCGAUGGGUGGCAGCGCGGACAUGGGAGGGGCGCUGGGGACCACCUGGCCCUGAGACCUCUGGGGUCCGUCCCGCUCGAGCCGGCCUUGCCGGGUCCGGGUCGACCUCCCCUGCUGGAAGCGCUCCGCACGCUCGCGGCGGUCGGCUUGGGAUCUGCCAUACGACAGCGCACGGCCGCCGAGGUUCUGCUUCUCGACUGGGACCGGACUGCUCUGCUCCGGGGUCAUGGCCUCCUUCUCCGGAAGGAGGGGUUGAAGAGGAGGCAGCGCCGCCAGCUGGAGGAAGAGAGCUACGUCAGAAAGAGUGAAAUCCAGCCAUGGACGUUCCUUCCGCCACUGCUGUUCUCCAUCAACGCGGAGCCCCGAGCGCGGACCCGAAGCGACAUCGUUCACCUGUCUGCUUCGCUCGGGACCGCAGAUCUGGAGGGGCUGGUAAAGAGGGCCAUCGCCAGGCAGGGCAGAGCUUUUCGUGCUCCGUGGAAGUUUGUUUUGCACCUGGGCCAAAAGAAAUGAACACGCAAACAUGCAGGAAGAGAGCAGAACAGAUUAACCCCGCGGCGCCUUGGACCGCCCUCUCUCCUCGCUUCGCCACGCCUCUCCUUCUUACUCGGGUGCGUCGCCGCAGGGCUCACCUGUGGGACGCCCCCAGCGAGGAAGCCGCAGCGGUGAAUGACGGGCAGGAGGGGGCGGGCACAGCACAGCUCCUGAAAGACCAGAAACACAGAUCCACUGUUCUGCCCCCGUAUCAGCGAUCUGAUCAGAAGACAGGAAGCGCAGAAAUGUUUUGAACUCGGAAUAAUACGGUUUGCACGGACCAGCUUUGUCUGUGAAUUCACUCUAACGAGGCCUGGACUGCGCGUACGUACGAGAUGAUUGGGGCAUCUGUAGUCGAGGGCAAUUACUGGUAAUGGGAGCUGAUGACGGGUGCACUGGCGGCUGAGGCCACUCCCAUCGUUGGCCCCAUAGCCACUCCCACCAUUAUUGCCGCUCCCAUAGCCACUCCCACUGCCGUAGCCACGCCCACUGAGGGACAGGCCUGGGUAGACACUGCUCGUGUUCAAGGAGCCGGAGAUGACCCUGUGGAUAAAACAUUACACUCCAGCACAUAAAUAUGUAAGAAAAAAUAUAAUUUAGCCCUUGGAGGCUAAUGUGACGCGCAUUUCAUACCCACGAUGCCAGUUUUUCCAGUCAUUUUUUAAAGUUUCGUAACUGGCCAAUGCGCUUUCGGAUAUCUGCCUUUAACUUUUUUCUUUUUUUUGCAUUUUGAUGUCCUCCCUUUUUGAUAUGUGGACACGUGACUGACAUGAUGACACACUUCCUGUGAGCCAUUUUGUUCUUGUCUGGAACUUGGCAAGAAGGUUUUCUGCUGCAGAAACUGCAUAACUCAUUAUGGACUGGAUAGACAAUGAUGACAGUGAUGGUUCAAGUGUUGAAUUUUCUGAUAUUAGCGAUAUUUAGAGCAGGAUUGUUCAGAAAAACAAAGUGUGUAAAGUACAGUGAUUUUGCUCAAUUACCCAGUUGGUGAGAAUAAACAGAACCUUAAAGGUUUUGUCUGUGGAUCA